rnacentral:lncRNA from 1 species
UUUAUUUGGUGUCAGCGCCUUCACCUGUUUGUUCCGAACUUUUUAGCAUUAGUGUUCUCUUUUGUUUUUUGUGUGGAUUUCAAUACAUGUGCAUGCAAUUGUGUGUGUGCAAUAUUUAUUGUUAUGCUUCCGCUAUACCCAACACCAAACAACACCCUAAUUAGGGACAAUGAGUUAUUUAACAAAUCAAAAGACGGGAGUUGUUAAGUUGAACUCAAGUUAAUUUAAAUAUAAUUAGUUAUAUAGUUUGGUUGAAAAUAAGUUCACACAAUUGUACAUAGAAGAGUAUACAAAUAUAAUGGCAGCUAUGUAGAUUCGAAAUUUCUAGUAAAAUGUAUGCUCGUAACCUAGAAGAUAAAGUACAUUAC